rnacentral:rRNA from 1 species
AUUGAACGCUGGCGGCAGGCCUAACACAUGCAAGUCGAGCGCACCUUCGGGUGAGCGGCGGACGGGUUAGUAACGCGUGGGAACGUACCCUUCUCUAUGGAAUAGCCAUUGGAAACGAUGAGUAAUACCAUAUACGCCCUUCGGGGGAAAGAUUUAUCGGAGAAGGAUCGGCCCGCGUUAGAUUAGAUAGUUGGUGGGGUAAUGGCCUACCAAGUCUACGAUCUAUAGCUGGUUUUAGAGGAUGAUCCCCCACACUGGUACUGAGACACGGACCAG